rfam:Alligator mississippiensis ScZkoYb_56, whole genome shotgun sequence.
ACAUAGGUUUUUUUUAGAACCACAUUUUGUUAUAAGAAACUUUUCU